rnacentral:lncRNA from 1 species
GGCAAGUGGUCCCAUCUCUCUGCCUCAGUUUCCUCACCUGUGAGUUGGGACAGCACAGGUCCCUACCUCCUAGGAUUUUGUGGAGUGAGAAGAUUAAUAAAAAUAAAGCACUGGGGGAGUUCCCUGGUGGCUCAGUGGGUUAGGACCUGGCUCAGGUCGCUGCUGUGGUGCAGGUUGGAUCCCUGGCCUAGGAACUUCCACAUGCCGUGGGCGUGGUCUCACACAGACACACACACACACACACACACACACACACACACACACACAGCACUGGGGCCUUAACAUGUAUUAAGUGGGUCCUUAAUGCAUGCUAUCUAGCAUUACUGCUGCUAGUGUGGGGGGCUAUUGGUUCUGAGACUCCAAAGAAGGUCUUCAAGCUAAGACCUCAUGUUGGAGCAGGGGUUUCAAACUGCACCUGCCGGCCAGCCACGAAUGUGUUUCACUGGACCAGCACAGUUUCUCCAUCAAUUAAUGCCUCUCGAAGGGACAUUCCACACAGAGAACACAAGAGCAUCCAGACUCUGGAGCAAGGCUGCCUGGGUUGCAGUGAUGACGGUGAGGAAGUCACUUCCUGCCCCUGUCUCAGUUUCCACGUGCCAAGCUCUGUGCCAACGCAAUGCUUUACACACCUGACCUCGUUAAAUCCUUAUGACUAUCCUGAGAGGCACAGGUGGGUGAUGUAUGGUUCUGGAUUUAUUUUGAAAGUAGAAGAGUUCCGGAGUUCCCAUCGUGGUGCAGCAGAAAUGAAUCCAACUAGGAACCAUGAGGUUGCAGGUUCGUUCCCUGGCCUUGCUCAGUGGGUUAAAGAGCUGGCGUUGCUGUGAGGUGUGGUGUAGGUCACAGAUGUGGCCCGGAUCUGGCAUUGCUGUGGUGUAGGCCGACAUCUAUAGCUCCAAUUCGACCCCUAGCCUGGCAACCUCCAUAUGCUGUGGGUGCGGCCCUAAAAAGCAAAAAAGAAAGAAGGAAAAGAAAAAAGAAAGUAGAGGAGUUCCCAUUGUGGCUCAGAGGGUUAGGAGCCUGACUAGUUCCAUGAGGAGGCGGGUUUGAUCCCUGGCCCUGCUCAGUGAGUUAAGGAUCUGGCAUUGCCUCGAGCUGUUCUGUAGGCCACAGAUGCGGCUCAGAUCCUGCUUGCUGUGGCUGUGGUGUAGGCCGGCAGCUACAGCUCCAAUUCAACCCCUAGCCUGGGAACCUCCAUAUGAUGUGGGCACGGUCCUAAGAAGAAAGAAAAAAGUAAGUCUACUACAUGAUUUGCUCAGUAGCUAUUUGUGAAUUUGAUGGAUAAUCACAAUAAUAGCAUACAUAUAGAGUGUGUGUCUGGCACUGUUCUCAGUGCUUUAAUUGUAUUAUCUUAUUUAUUCCUCACAACCUGUUGUCAUUAGUGCCAUUUUACACCGGGGGAAAAUGAGGCAAGCAAGAUUAAGUACCUUGCCCAAGCACAAUGAAUAAUUACAAUAAUGUAUCACAGAGGUGACAGGGUAGGCUCUGGGAGUCAGAAAGCUCCCCCUGGUUUCAAAUCCUGGCUGGACGCAUGACUUUGGACAGCUCACCAGGACUCUGGGCUUUGCUCUCCUGCUUUGUACAAUGGAAAUUGCAAGAAUACUCUUGGCACCAGGCUUUGGGAAUGAGUUGAUGAGGAACAAAAGUGAGCCCCAGAGGCAGAAAGUGCUCUUUAAAUGCCAGUAAGACCCUUUAAGGGGUGGGGGCUACGGAGAUAAGUGGGAACCUUAAAACAAUCAUGAUAAAAUAAAUAUUCAUUCAGUCACCCCAGAGACCUACAAGGUUUGAGUCUUGUGAAGACUCCUCCAGGCAGGACCCCCGAUUGACCUCUUGCCUCUUCUUGUCUGUACUUCGGAUUGCCUUUCUCCAUCUGGGACACCUCAUGUUCAGCCGGCUUGGCCCCCAUGUUUCACUCCGGUCUCUGAUCAGAUGUCACCUCCUCAGAGAAGCCUUCCAGGACCCUCUCACACUGCCUAAUUUUGUUGGGCAACACUCCUUUUCCAUAUUUAUUUGUUUAGCUACUUACUGUCUGUCUCCUUUUGGAGAAAGUGAGCUCCAUGGCGGCAUGAACAUGCUUCCAGCAUAGUUGUCUCUUCUAAUCCCCAUUUCACAGAUUGAAAAACUGGAACAAGGCUCCCUAAGCAGGUUUUAUGGUUAAAAGGACUAUUCGUUGAACGAAUGCAUCUGGCUUCUAAAGCGGCAGUGGCGCGCCACACCGCCCCCUGGUGGCGAGUGGGAAACUCGCACCCGGAAAGUUGGCCUUCAGGGCAAUCAAGUUUCCCCCAGCUGCUGGGGUAGCCUGAGAUUCCGUGUGCAGUAAUGCUGGAAAUUAACUCCAUUUCACAUCAAG